rnacentral:rRNA from 1 species
UACGAAGGGGGCUAGCGUUGUUCGGAAUUACUGGGCGUAAAGCGCGCGUAGGCGGACAUUUAAGUCAGGGGUGAAAUCCCAGGGCUCAACCCUGGAACUGCCUUUGAUACUGAAUGUCUUGAGUUCGGGAGAGGUGAGUGGAAUUCCGAGUGUAGAGGUGAAAUUCGUAGAUAUUCGGAGGAACACCAGAAGCGAAGGCGGCUCACUGGCCCGAUACUGACGCUGAGGCGCGAAAGCGUGGGGAGCAAUCAGG